rnacentral:rRNA from 1 species
UGUGCUUGCACAUCGCUGACGAGUGGCGGACGGGUGAGUAAUGGUUGGGAACUUGCCUUUGCGAGGGGGAUAACAGUUGGAAACGACUGCUAAUACCGCAUAAUGUCUACGGACCAAACGGGGCUUCGGCUCCGGCGCAAAGAGAGGCCCAAGUGAUAUUAGCUAGUUGGUGAGGUAAAGGCUCACCAAGGCAACGAUCUCUAUCUGUUCUGAGAGGAAGAUCAGCCACACUGGGACUGACACACGGCCCACACUCCUACGGGAGGCAGCAGUGGGGAAUAUUGCACAGUGGGGGAAACCCUGAUGCACCCAUGCCGCGUGUGUGAAGAAGGCCUUCGGGUUGUAAAGCACUUUCAGUUGUGAGGAAAGGUUGGUAGUUAAUACCUGCCAGCUGUGACGUUAACAACAGAAGAAGCACCGGCUAACUCCGUGCCAGCAGCCGCGGUAAUAC